UGAUAACCAUGUACAAUACAUUAUCUAUAGUAUUAUUAUCACUUCAUAAUAUCGUAAUAACUGAAGAUAUUAUUUGCAUCUCUCUUCCAGAAAACUGAACCUAGAUUCUUCUUUUUUUAAAGGGUAUGAUUUUGGUCAUCUAUGAAGACCUGAUAAAUUUAGUUUAUAGCUUCUUUUAGCAAUUUUAUGUUUGUUUUGGUUUAUUUAUUUAUUUUAUCUUAGUAAGGAGUCAUGUAAUGAGAAACACUAGAUAUUAAAGCAAAACUUAAAAAAUAAAUAAAUAAAAAUCAUCAACAGGAAUAAAGCCAUAAAAAACCGAUCACUCGAUCCGAAACUCGACGGAGUAGAGGAGGAAGGGAUAAACCUGACUUGGCCCAGCCAUUGCCAUCCUCAGGUUUCACAAACCCACUUGACCAUAAGAAACAAGACGCGCACGAAAUAAGGGAUUAAGGGUUCAGCUGUUUUUAAUUGGACCCAUCCCGAUUCAAGAAGCGCGAACUGAAAACGAGAGACCCAAGAAAGUUGGCGGCUUAAAUCGUCAAUCAUGUAGUGCAAGGAAAAGAUCGGUUGACAAUAUGUUGUCAAUGAACAUCACAACAUAUUUGGUGUAAAGCGUCCAUGUCCUCUUUCUUGUAUAUUGCAAUCCUGACCCUUAAAUACAAAUAGCAAGAUUCAAGCAAAAUUAAGAGAACUUGCCCAAGUUAAUGGUUGUUGAGACGAGGCAUAAGUAGCGGCAGAAAAAUUGGCAUCUACUUCUUCUGGUGCUAUUCUGCUGGACAUUUGUCUAUCAUAGACAACGCAAAAGCAUUGAUGCAGCUAUUAGAAUGCAGAUGAAUGACUGGUUAUUACUUAAUGAAAGAAAUGGAAUCGAAGCCGAGUUUGACGUCUUGGAAUGCAACAAAAACAACGGGGACAGAUGCGCAAGCUCAACAAAUCACGAAGCAAUGCUUCUUUACUGAAUAUUCUUGAAUUCCUGUAAAACGACUGGUUUGGUUUAUAUGAAUUGGGUUUGCAUCAUAAUUUCUCGAA